GGGUGAGUAACACGUGGGUGAUCUGCCCUGCACUUCGGGAUAACGCUUGGGAAACUGGGUCUAAUACCGGAUAGGACCGCACUUUAGUGUGUGUGGUGGAAAGUUUUUUCGGUGUAGGAUGAGCUCGCGGCCUAUCAGCUUGUUCGGUGGGGUAAUGGCCUACCAAGGCGGCGACGGGUAGCCGGCCUGAGAGGGUGUACGGCCACAUUGGGACUGAGAUACGGCCCAGACUCCUACGGGAGGCAGCAGUGGGGAAUAUUGCACAAUGGGCGCAAGCCUGAUGCAGCGACGCCGCGUGGGGGAUGAAGGCCUUCGGGUUGUAAACUCCUUUCGCUAGGGACGAAGCUUUUUGUGACGGUACCUAGAUAAGAAGCACCGGCUAACUACGUGCCAGCAGCCGCGGUAAUACGUAGGGUGCGAGCGUUGUCCGGAAUUACUGGGCGUAAAGGGCUCGUAGGUGGUUUGUCGCGUCGUCUGUGAAAUUCUGGGGCUUAACUCCGGGCGUGCAGGCGAUACGGGCAUAACUUGAGUGCUGUAGGGGUAACUGGAAUUCCUGGUGUAGCGGUGAAAUGCGCAGAUAUCAGGAGGAACACCGAUGGCGAAGGCAGGUUACUGGGCAGUUACUGACGCUGAGGAGCGAAAGCGUGGGUAGCAAACAGGAUUAGAUACCCUGGUAGUCCACGCUGUAAACGAUGAGUGGUUAGGUUCUUGGAAUAAUCUGGGAGCCGCAGCUACGCAUUACACUCCUCCUG
rnacentral:rRNA from 1 species